GCCCAAACCAAGAGGCUUGCCUCUUGGGGUUGUAGGACACUCUAUACGGAGUUACAAAGGAAUGAUAUAAGCGAAGAGGUCUGGAAAGGCCCGCCAAAGAAGGUAACAGCCCUGUAACUGAAAUGUUAUUCUCUCCAGAGUGGAUCCUGAGUACGGCGGAACACGUGAAAUUCCGUCGGAAUCCGGGAGGACCAUCUCCCAAGGCUAAAUACUCCCUAGUGACCGAUAGUGAACCAGUACCGUGAGGGAAAGGU
rnacentral:rRNA from 1 species